UACGGAGGGUGCAAGCGUUAUCCGGAUUCACUGGGUUUAAAGGGUGUGUAGGCGGGCUGUUAAGUCAGUGGUGAAAUCUCCAGGCUCAACCUGGAAACUGCCGUUGAUACUAUCAGUCUUGAAUCCUGUUGAGGUGGGCGGAAUAUAUCAUGUAGCGGUGAAAUGCUUAGAUAUGAUAUAGAACACCGAUUGCGAAGGCAGCUCACUAAGCAGGCAUUGACGCUGAGGCACGAAAGCGUGGGGAUCAAACAGGAUUAGAUACCCUGGUAGUCCACGCCCUAAACGAUGAUUACUCGACAUACACGAUACACUGCGUGUGUCUGAGCGAAAGCAUUAAGUAAUCCACCUGGGAAGUACGUCCGCAAGGAUGAA
rnacentral:rRNA from 1 species